rnacentral:lncRNA from 1 species
GAGUUGAUGAUGUCCUUGAUAUAAAUUUGGUUUGAGGCCGACAUCUGUUUAUUCAAAGAAUGUAUUACCUUUAUAGUUUACAUAUGUUAAAUUCAUAUUUUUAUUAUUUUAUAUGAAUUUUGGUGAUAUAUGAACAGGAAGUGAGUAUGGUUUACAUUAAAACUUCAGUUUUUUUAAUGUAUUUUUUAUACUUUAGCCAACGAAAUACACCAUAAUUCGUCGGCCUAAAACAUCUUAGCCGGCGAAUUAUAGUAUAUUUCGUCGGCUAAAACCAUCUUAGCCGGCGAAUUAUAUUAUAAGUCGUCGGUUAAGAUCAGUUUAGCCGACGAAUACCCUAAUACUUCAUCGGCUUUAUUUAUUUUUUUAUUUUUUAUUACAUACUAUAGCCGAAGAAUAUAUUAUGGUAUUCGUCGGCUAAACCCUAAAAUUUUUCUAUUACAUACUAUAGCCCUAUCUUCGGUGCUUAUUUUUCGUAAAAUUUUUAUACGACUUGUUGCGUCUCAUCUAUUUGAAACUAUUUUCAGUUGAAAGUCCGGCCAAAAUACGUAAUUCAGACGGUCCAAUGACCUUUUCCGUGCAUUUAGGGGUUUGACUUAGCGGAUUGACAGUCCGGAUCGAGCCCUUAACCUUGUCGGAUCAAGUUGAAUUUUUGCCCAUACAUGUAUUUUGUCAUGAUGGUCAGAUCUAACUGUCGGAUUUCCGUUUCUUAAGUUUGAUCAUCACAAUCACAACAUGCCUACUAAUGUUGUAUAACUUGUUUACCAAGUGUUAAGUAAAUGUUCCGUUUCAAAAACAAACUAUACGUAAAACAUUUAAACUCAAAAAAGUCGUGAAAUAAGAUAUGACCAGAAUGGUGAAAUACGUCCACGGUUGAAAAAUCACAGUAUUCUGGUAAAGUUUCGAUGCCGAUAGUUGCGGUCAAUGCAAUUUUUCAUUCUUUCUCGCUAUGAGUAGCCCUAUCUUCAGUGGUUAUUUUGCGUAAAAUUUUUAUACGAUUUGUUGCGUCUCAUCAGUUUGAAACUAUUUUCAGUUCAAGGUCCAGCCAAAAUACGUAAUUUAGAUGGUCCAAUGACCUUUUCCGUGCGUUUAGGGGUUUGACUUAACGGAUUGACCGUCCGAAUCGAGCCCUUAACCUUGUCGGAUCAAGUUAAAUUUUUUCCUAUACAUGUAUUUUAUCAUGAUGGUCAGAUCUGACGGUCGGAUUUUGGUUUCUCAAGUUUGAUCAUCACAAUCACAAUUUGCCGAAUGUAUAAAAAGUACUAUAGCCGACGAAGUUCAAAUGUUUCGCCGACGAAUUUCAAAGAUUUUACCGACGAAUUUCAAAGGUUUAGCAGACGAAUUUGAUCUUAACUGACGAUAUUAUUAUCUUUAGCCGACGAAAUAAUAAUUUCGUCGGCUAAAGUUGUCGGGUAUAGAGACGAACACCCAGCGCUCGACAGCAGAAAAACCCUAGCCUCCUCUUCCGCCUCCUCCGCCUCCUCUCCCUCUCUCGGUCUCCGCCUCCUCUCUCUCCCUCUCUGGGUCUCCACCUCCUUCCUCUCCCUCUCCCGGUCUCUGCCUCCUCUCCCUCUCCCCCUCCUGGUCGCCGCCCUCUCCCUCUCCCUCUCCCGGUCGCCCUCUGCUGCUCGCCUGCUCCGGCCCUCCCUCCUCCUCCUGCUGCUCCGGUCCUCCCUCCUCCUCCUGCUGCUCCAGCCUCGAGCCCUCCCUCCUCCUCGAGUACAUUUCUGUUUCACAUUUCAUUUGUGUUUGCCUUGAUUUUCCGGUCAAUUGCAAUGUUGUGGUGUUGUUAGGAAGUGUAUAUUUGUAUUUAGAAAGUGUAUAUUUGUAGUUAGGAAGUGUAUAUUUUUAUUUAGGAACUGUAUAUUUAUAUUUAGUAUUUAGGAAGUGUAUAUUUGUAUUUAGUAUUUUGCGUUUGCUUUGAUUUUCUGGUCAAUUGCAAUGUUGUGGUGUUAGGAAGUGUAUAUUUAUAUUUAGGAAGUGUAUAUUUUUAUUUAGGAAGCGUAUAUUUGUAUUUAGUAUUUUUAGGAAGUGUAUAUUUGUAUUUAGUAUUUAGGAAGUAUAUAUUUGUAUUUAGGAAGUGUAUAUUUUUUUUUGUUGACUAAUUGAAUGGGUUUACAUUGUUUGAUUUUGUGGUGUUGUUACGAAUAUGAAAAUAAGCAUGAAACUGACCUCCUCUUCUUGUCAUGAAAUAUAAAUCUAAAAGUUAGGAGCUUAAAAAUUAAUUUUUAAAAGUUACAAAUGUAAAUUUUUUUUUUCAAAAGGCUGACGCCUUGGUGAGGCUCUCGGUCCAUAGCCUCGGCUACGCUUUAGCCUUUUAAAACAUUGGCCUUGAUUCAAAUUAAUAUUUUAAACAGGAUGAGCGGUAAUAUUAGAUCGACGAAAGCCGAAGGGCUAAAGGUCCGAAUCGUCUGAGGGAACCUCUAGCAACCCUCAAACGUCAUUUCAGGACCCCAUUACAGCCAGACAUGCGACCCUUCUGCAGACGGCGCAGAGGCAGCCGGAGGUGCCCCCUUCAUCGAGGCAACGGGGCAUCCCUCAUUCCUCGAGGCAGUUGUGGACUCAGACCCAGACGGAGGUGUCUGCACCCCGUAUGCCUGAGAUACACCGGGCACCCACUCCAGGUCCUACUUCUUCGGAUAGUGGGUCAUCUGGGGUACAGAUGCCGUCGCCUCAUCUGUUCCUUCCGCGGAUGAUACCGGCUUUACCUGCAGUCGAUGGCUCAGGGACGCCGAUUUAUCCACUACCCCGUCAAUGGCUCCAUCAGCGGCGUACCGAUUCGUGCCUUUUGAUAGGCCUCUUAUUUCCGCGAGGGUAUCAUCAUCGACGACAGAGACGGAAUCCGUCGCGUCCGCCACAUCGCCCUCAGGUAAUGAAAGAUGAAUAAUUUGUUUUCUUAUAAUUCUCCGAUUUUAAUAAUCAACUUGGUUUAUCAUGUGAUAGGCACCGUCACAGGGAGGAUCGUCAUCCGUACUAACGGGGAUGGCGACAUAGUAUCGGACGGGAAGUCGAGGACGUACUCCGGACGCGUGGGAGCGCUCAUUAGGGAUAGAGUCUCUAUGUUGUGGUCAGACUGGGGCGAGGUCCCGCAGGAGGUUAAGGACAUGGUCCACAACGCGAUGUCGUUGAGUUUACAAAAUGCCUCAAUAAUAUUAUGUAUUACAUUGUUGAUUUCUCGAAAAACUAAACUAAUAAACGGUUAAAUGCAGGUGUGGUUUGAGGUUUCCGAGCACCUGAAGAACAGCUGGGCGGACGUUGUGCAUGAGGGAAGGUACGUUGGGAAGUUAAUGAAAAAACAAAAUUGUAUGUGAUAUUAAUAAUAUUUCUAAUAUUUUUGUUGUAUCUGUAGGUACAAGGAGUGGAAGAACAAGUUGAUGACCCACUGGACUACGCACGGGAACGCACGUUCUGGUACCCCUGUUGAGUUCCAGUACAGGGAGUACGAGUGGCGUUGGCUUCUGACAUCAGAGUUCAACAACCCUCGUAAACAGGUAUUUAAAAAAAUUAAUUAGUUACUUUGUCAUUAAGUACGUGCGUUUUUAAAUAUUUUACUAAUAGUUUAGUUUUUUCUUUGAAGGCCGUUUCCCGGGCGAACGCUCAGAACCGGUAACGCAACACAAGGAACCAUCAUGCCGGUUCUAGACCGUUCGCUGUCUUCAUGGAUGAGGUGGCCAGGAACAUCUAGAAGUCAACCAGUACAUCUAUACGUACGAGAAGGCAUAUCUUGACUCCCAGGGGGAUAUUGUAAGUCAUCUUACGUUUUUUAAUUUUUUAUUUUACUUAUAUAUAUGUCAAAAUGUUAAUUAAUCANNN